rnacentral:lncRNA from 1 species
AGGCGAGGAGAUGGGAUUACAGAAGGAGGAGGCGCGGAGAUGGGAUUAGAGGAGGAGGCGCGGAGAUGGGAUUAGAGGAGGAGGCGAGGAGAUGGGAUUAGAGAAGGAGGCGAGAUGGGAUUAGAGGAGGAGGCGAGAUGGGAUUAGAGGAGGAGGAAGCGAGGAGAUGGGAUUAGAGGAGGAGGCGAGGAGAUGGGAUUAGAGAAGGAGGUGGCGAGGAGAUGGGAUUAGAGGAGGAGGCGAGAUGGGAUUAGAGGAGGAGGAAGCGAGGAGAUGGGAUUAGAGGAGGAGGAGGCGAGGAGAUGGGAUUAGAGGAGGAGGAGGCGCGGAGAUGGGAUUAGAGGAGGAGGCGAGGAGAUGGGAUUAGAGGAGGAGGCGAGGAGAUGGGAUUAGAGGCGCGGAGAUAGGAUUAGAGGAGGCGAGGCGAUGGGAUUAGAGGAGGAGGAGGCACGGAGAUGGGAUUAGAGAAGGAGGCGAGGAGAUGGGAUUAGAGGAGGAGGAGGCGCGAAAAUGGGAUUAGAGGAGGAGGAGGC